AAGAAAGAAAACUAAAAGAAGGGUUGAGUGGCUGAGUUAAUAGUUUAGUUAGCCAAUCUGUUCAAACAUUACUACUCUCUCUCUCUCAAUCACCAUUAUUAACAGAAGGAAGAAAGGCCAAAAUCUACUGUUGUAAUCAGAGAUCUGCAGAGGAAGGCAGCUGGGUUUAGGUUAUUUGGCCAGUGUUUCAGGUAGGAGAGUUUCAUCCAUCUUUGUUGGAAUCGAGGGUUGCAGAUGCAGGCAAUAGAUGCAUUUAUGUAUCUAAUAAUCAUCAGAAUGCUUUAUAUCUCAAAUGGGGACAUCUGCAUAUGGAGAUAGGAGGGUUUCAUCCAUCUUUGGUUGAAUCAAGGGGGGGGUCUGCUUGCCUGCAAUCAGAAUUGCCUAUGUUGAAUGGUUGCAGACUAUGGUUAAUGAUGUAAGUAGCAGUUGGAUGUCUGCAACAUGUGAAGGAAAGGGAGGAGGGAUAUGUGCAUCUCCUUUUUGGAUUGUGACCUACCCUGCAUGCCAGGCUUGUAGCAUUUUAGAUCACAAGUAAUGUUGCAGUUUAUAGGGGGUUUCAUUACACAAGUAGAAGCUGUAUAACUUGCAGUGACCAAACAACCCAAAAUGAAUAUGGAGAAUUUUCCGAUCAACCUCGGAUAUCAGAGUCUGAUUUCUUUUUUGUACAUGUCGGAACUCUGGCUCGGUGAAAAAUUGCUGUACAUGAGAUGCAAUGAUUUCAUUUCCUGUAUUGAGCUAUUGGAGUUAUCACUUGAUUUUUCUGAGCUUCUUAUUUGAAAGAAACACAACAAUUUUGAGAGUGAUCAGACCUCCAAAUUCAUUUCAAAAGAGAUUAUGUCUGCUAAAACAAUCGACUAUUAAGUCUUGACCUUUUCUUGGUUUGAAGGGCAAUUUGGAGGAGCCUCCGUCAAAAAAGAGGAGAAAUCAAGAAGGAGAUACAGAAAAAUCACACCUGCCUGAAAUGUCUCAGAUAACAGAUAAUAGAGAAAGUUACACAAUCUUUAGUCUUAACUAUUUAGGUAUAUUUAUUGUACAUAAGAUCCGAAAAAAAAGGAAAAGAUAGGAAGAAGGUGAGGGAACAGGACACACAAACAAAUCUAUCUUGACCUAGAUAUCUUACAUUCUUGGUGUUGUCACGAGGCGGUAUUGGUACUUAAUAGGAUAUCUGCUUUCUUCGUGUCACAGGACUUUUGCAUCGUAUCACCAGCCUCCCUAGGCCUGGACCUGCAACUAGCUUUCUUUGCCAUUUCUUCUCUACAAGCAUAUGCAGUUACAGAGAAGAGUUGGAGAAAGACAAGAGCCAUACUUGUGUAGAAACUGGGGUGUGCAUGAGUGAGGGGUGCGGGUUGCUCCCAAACACAAAGUACUGCAUGUUCUCCUCAGCAAGAUCUCUAAGUCUGUCAAGUUCUGGCAGUAUGACCAUUGCAAGAUCUGGUCGAUCCUUCCGUCUGAGCUCUGCACACUUCAGUGCCAACUUGGCUAACCUUAAUGCUUCCUCAACUGGCCAAUCUGGUACUGAUUGGUCCAACAUCUCUGUGAACGUUCCUCUCUCAAUUGCACGCUCCAUAUAGUGUGCCAACCCCAUGGGAGAUUUGCUAGUGAUAAUUUGCAACAAUAUGAUUCCAAGAGAGUAUAUAUCAGACUUUACACCGAGCAUGCCAGUUUGCUGAUACUCCGGGUCGAUAUAGCAGAAUGUGCCAGCAGUGGCUGUCAUGCAAUACUGGGUGGUAUGGUCUGCUGCAGUUGGUGGAACCAACCGGGCAAGUCCAACAUCGCUGAUCUUGCUGACGUAAUUCCUGUCAAGGAGGAUGUUGGCAGGCUUAAGGUCUCUGUGAACCAGUGGCUCUGGUUUAGUCUGGUGUAGAAAGAGGAGGCCUGUGCCAAUCUCUGCAGCAAUCCGGAACCUAUGCUGCCAAGGAAUGGGUGGUGUAUUCCCUCGCCUGAAUAAGCAAUCUUCCAAGCUUCCAUUUGCCAUGUACUCAUACACAAGGCAGCCAUGUUCUGGGCAAGCGCCCAGCAGUAGAACCAUAUUUGGAUGUCGGAUGCAGCAUAAUAUUUCAACCUGUGUAUGGGAGAUGAUACAAUAAAAAUGUUACACAUAUACACCUAUAUGACUCGAUGUGCUAAUUGCUGCAUUUUGCAUAGAUAGUGCUUGCUCUGAAUGUAUGUGUAAAUUGUAAAUUUUCAGAGUUCUGAUAGUUUGAAGCAUUGUUGUAUGUGUUUCAUACCUCUCGCUGAAACUGCGUUCUGCCUUGGGCAGCAUCUGGACGCAGAACCUUAAUGGCAACGGGCGUAUGAUCCAGAUAACCUCUGUAAACAGGUCCAUAACCACCUUCUCCAAUUUUCCUGUCCUGUGCAUAAUGCGUUGCAGCUCCAUUGCCUGCAGCAAAGGCAUCGUCUGAAAACAAGUUCAAUCUUUGUGACAGCAAUGGAUAAAUUACCUUCUGUUUAGCUGUCAGUGCUUCUCUGCGUGCUGUGCUGUACAUGUCCAUGGUUUGCUUGAGUUCUAAUCUCAGCCUGUUCAGCUUAGCUUCAACAUCUUCCUGAAAUUUCAAAGAUUCCGUGGAGCAAAUGCAGCUUCACUUGGCAUUAGGAAAUUCCGAUCUUCAGGAACAGAAGUAGCAAAAAACUUGUGUUAACAGGGGAAAAGAAGAGACUGCAAUGGUACCUAUACUGAUGGCAACACAGACCUUUCAUGUCAUUCUUGUGACUAUGGUCCAGUGAGUCAGGUCUAACACUUGAAAGGCCUUGGAUUUGCUUCUGGAGAAGAGAGAAGGCUGGAGCUGGCCGGACGGCAUUCUUCACGGAGGAUACCUUCCCCUUAUGGAUGAGGUAGACAGUACAGAAAUCAGGCACACCUUUGUAGAUAUUGGUACUGAUGUCUGAGUUUCUGAAUGAUCUGAGGAAAAUAUGACAGAGUUGGUGUUGAAAGACAUAUUUUUCAGCCCAAACAGAUUUCGACUUUAGUUGUAGAAGUGCUCAAGUGAUUUAAGAUCACCUGACAAAUCCACCUCUUGAUGAUGAUGAACCAACCACUAGCUUUUCAAUUGCAGCAUCAGCAACGAACCCUAUGAUCGCUUUGGCAACAUCAGUGUCUUCAAGUAUGACAUCUUUGUUAUAUACCUGUUGAGGAAUACUCAAAUUUGAUAUCCGUAAGUUAGUGCAUGAAUUGGGUGAUCAGCUGGAAUCUGUUCAAAGAAGGAAGCAGAAGAAGAAAUUGUCCAUGCUGUGGAUUUUCUCGAGUCGGUGACAAUGUCAACUACCCUUCACCAGGGCUUCCUCAAUGAGGAAAGGACCAGCAGGUUCAUCAUCAUUUGUGGGGCUAUGGAAGUGGUCUUAACAUUGAAAUUUUUGGAUGUAACCGCAAGGUAUCUUCAUCGAUCCUAAACUCAUCACCUUCUCGAAAAGGAACAGCAGAUUCGUCACCACAUUCGAAAAAGGGAGUCAUUAUGCAUCACCGAGCAGGUAUCACCAAGCCUCAGACACAAUUAUUCAAACAGCAUCGAAAAGGGACAAAAACGUCCCUUGCAUCAUCUCCAUACCCCGCUGCAAUGCAUCAAAAAGAGAAGGGAGAGUCGUUACAACAAAGAUUUCAUGAAGACAAGGCUGGAUCAAACGAGAACCAGGGGCAAGUCCGCUUACACUUGGUGUUGACAUGGAUGAGGGUGAGGGUUUGGCCUUUGGUGACAACAUUGUCCAGAGCCCAUCUGAAGGCAGCGUGGCUGCUCUUGUCCCUGUCGACGGCCACUGCUACCAGUUGGCGUGCUUGGCCAUCCGACUGCUCUUUCUGUGACAUGACUCUCUGCAUUGCUUGGAAUCGGCCAUUCUCCAUCAUGUCAGGAGCAAGAUGAUGAGCCGCAUCAUGGACAGCAGAAAGAAGAGAGAGCUUACCACCACAGUGCAGCCCCUCUCCUUCGUUCCUUCGGUCCUUGGGUUCCUUCUCUUUCUCUCUCUAGCAGAUAGCGUAUGCUCUUUUUCUUGGUAAUUCCUCUCUCUCUCUCUCUCUCUAUGAGUAUAUGUUGAAUGCCUCUUCUUUAUAUCAGUUGAGGCUCUGCGUGGAUGUGGCUGUCGGUUUUCUGUUGCAGCCAUGCACGUACUGCGAUGUAUCCAUGCUGUCAUGCAGAGUUGGCUGGUGCUGUUUCGGCUUC